rnacentral:rRNA from 1 species
GAUGAACGCUGGCGGCGUGCCUAAUACAUGCAAGUCGAGCGAACAGACGAGGAGCUUGCUCCUCUGACGUUAGCGGCGGACGGGUGAGUAACACGUGGAUAACCUACCUAUAAGACUGGGAUAACUUCGGGAAACCGGAGCUAAUACCGGAUAAUAUAUUGAACCGCAUGAUUGAAUAGUGAAAUACGGUUUUGCUGUCACUUAUAGAUUGAUCCGCGCCGCAUUAGCUAGUUGGAAAGGUAACGGCUUAGCAAGGCCACGAUGCGUAGCCGACCUGAGAGGGUGAUCGGCCACACUGGAACUGAGACACGGCCCAGACUCCUACGGGAGGCAGCAGUAGGGAAUCUUCCGCAAUGGGCGAAAGGCUGACGGAGCAACGCCGCGGGAGUGAUGAAGGUCUUCGGAUCGGAAAACUCUGUUAUUAGGGAAGAACAAAUGUGUAAGUAACUAUGCACGUCUUGACGGUACCUAAUCAGAAAGCCACGGCUAACUACGUG